rnacentral:piRNA from 1 species
UAGGAACUAAGAAGCCAACCUCAAGGAAUC